CCAUCUGGGUGCUGCGGAGAGAGGCCCUGUGUUCUUGGCUUUAGCGGUCUGGAGUAGCGUCUGAACCUGUUGAGCUGGGAGCAGGGAGAUUAACAGAACCUCUCUUUCAUGAGGGAAGACAAUUUCAUUCGGUUUCUGACCUCUGCUCCCUAGUGCCAGACCUGCCUCAGGGAUGGACACAUGAUGCAAGCCUGGGACUCAGGCUGAGUAGAUCAGUCCUCCCCUGAAUUUUACCGGCUCUAUUGGGAAAGAGGCACACUUUUCUCUGGGAUCACCACUUGUAAAGACAAUACAACGUUAAGUCUGGUGCUGUUGGUGAACAUCUUUGCCAAGAAAGAGCCUGCUUGAUAAAACAACAAGCUGGCUACCAUGUCAUAAGGAGAAGCAAUGUGAUGAGGAACUGAGGGCUCUGGCCAAAGAUAUAUAAAGAACUUGGAAGCAGAUCCUCCAGCCCUGCUCAAACCUUUUGGUGACUAAAGCAUUGACUGAACAUCUGGACUACAACCCUCAUGAGAGACCCUGAGCUGAAACCAUCCAGGGGCCUCCAGAAAAAUGAUGAACAGAAGUGGUGACAGCGGGC